rnacentral:ncRNA from 18 species
AUACAGACUCAGGGAAACAGGUGGGAUUCCUGUGCAAGUCCGUUACUGUAAAAGCCAGAUUGCUGACUGUAUUUGAUUAUAAAGUUUUGCGGCAACCGAAGCUUUAUAAUAGAACA